rnacentral:lncRNA from 1 species
UCCAAACAAACUAUAGUUGCUAGAAAACUAUGAAAUUAGAAUUGAUUGCUUUAGAUACCACUAUUAAUGAAGCAAAGUGGCUUAAAGAGUUUUUAUAUAAUAUUCCAUUACUUGUCACACCUCUUCCUCCUAUUUCUAUUCAUUGUUGUUGUACGGCUGCCAUCGACAAAUGUGCACAAUAAAAUGCAGAUGUAAAAAUGAAUCAUCAUAUGAAAGUCAAGAUAUAAAUUAAUAAGAGAGAAG